rnacentral:siRNA from 1 species
UCAGCCGUUUGGGUGCGACA